rnacentral:rRNA from 1 species
UGGAGGCAGCAGUGAGGAAUAUUGGACAAUGGAUGGAAAUCUGAUCCAGCCAUGCCGCGUGCAGGAAGACGGCCCUAUGGGUUGUAAACUGCUUUUAUAUGGGAGCAAUAAGGCCUACGAGUAGGUUGAUGAGAGUACCAUAUGAAUAAGCACCGGCUAACUCCGUGCCAGCAGCCGCGGUAAUACGGAGGGUGCAAGCGUUAUCCGGAUUUAUUGGGUUUAAAGGGUGCGUAGGCGGUUUGAUAAGUCAGCGGUGAAAUAUUUCAGCUUAACUGGAAGGGUGCCGUUGAUACUGUCAGGCUUGAAUUUAGUUACUGUGGGUGGAAUGUGUGGUGUAGCGGUGAAAUGCAUAGAUAUCACACAGAAUAUCGAUUGCGAAGGCAGCUCACAAAGCUAAAAUUGACGCUGAUGCACGAAAGUGUGGGGAUCAAACAGGAUUAGAUACCCGAGUA